CGGAGGGGCUAGCGUUGUUCGGAAUUACUGGGGCGUAAAGCGCACGUAGGCGGACCGGAAGUCAGAGGUGAAAUCCCAGGGCUCAACCUUGGAACUGCCUUUGAAACUAUCGGUCUGGAGUUCGAGAGAGGUGAGUGGAAUUCCGAGUGUAGAGGUGAAAUUCGUAGAUAUUCGGAGGAACACCAGUGGCGAAGGCGGCUCACUGGCUCGAUACUGACGCUGAGGUGCGAAAGCGUGGGGAGCAAACAGGAUU
rnacentral:rRNA from 1 species